rnacentral:rRNA from 1 species
GACGAACGCUGGCGGCGUGCUUAACACAUGCAAGUCGAACGAUGAAGAAAAGAAUCGAAGCUUCGGCAGAAAUUCAUUUCGGAUUAGUGGCAGACGGGUGAGUAACGCGUGAGCAACCUACCUCUUACAAAGGGAUAGCCUCGGGAAACCGGGAUUAAUACCAUAUAACAUUGCGACGAAGCAUUUCGAUGCAAUCAAAGCUACGGCGGUAAGAGAUGGGCUCGCGUCCCAUUGACCGGAUGGUGAGGUAACGGCUCACCAUAGUGACGAUGGGUAACCGGCCUGAGAGGGUGAACGGUCACACUGGAACUGAGACACGGUCCAGACUCCUACGGGAGGCAGCAGUGGGGAAUAUUGCACAAUGGAGGGAACUCUGAUGCAGCGACGCCGCGUGAGUGAUGAAGGAAUUCGUUUCGUAAAACUCUGUUCUAUGGGAAGAAAAGGACUGUACCAUAGGAGAAAGCUCCGGCUAAAUACGUG